rnacentral:rRNA from 1 species
CGGGGUGCAGCAGGCGCGAAAACCUCACAAUGGGAGAAAUCCCGAUGAGGGAAUUCCAAGUGCUAGCACUAUGUGUUAGCUGUUCUUUUGUCUAAAAAACAGAAGAAGUAAGGGCCGGGUAAGACGGGUGCCAGCCGCCGCGGUAAUACCCGCGGCCCGAGUGGUGGUCGAUAUUAUUGAGCCUAAAACGUCCGUAGCCGGUCUUGUAAAUCCUUGGGUAAAUCGGCCAGCUUAACUGUCCGAAGUCCGGGGAGACUGCAAGACUUGGGAUCGGGAGAGGUCAGAGGUACUUCUGGGGUAGGGGUAAAAUCCUGUAAUCCUGGAAGGACCACCGGUGGCGAAGGCGUCUGACUAGAACGAAUUCGACGGUGAGGGACGAAGCCCUGGGGCGCAAACGGGAUUAGAUACCCCGGUAGUCCAGGGUGUAAACGCUGCGGGCUUGGUGUUGGGGGUCCUUUGUGGGCGCCCAGUGCCGGAGAGAAGUUGUUAAGCCUGCUGCUUGGGGAGUACGUCCGCAAGGAUGAAACUUAAAGGAAUUGGCGGGGGAGCAC